UUUGGACAAACAUCUGAUGAUUGUUAUUUGUUAACAUCAAUUUUCACUGAAAUCUGUAGUUUUUAUUUCCUUUUUUAGAUCUCAGAAGUGCGGCGAUUACAUCUGAAAAAUCAGAAGAAUUGGGUUGUAUUU
rnacentral:sRNA from 1 species